rnacentral:rRNA from 1 species
GAAUCCCGUCUUUGACACGGACUGCCUGUACAUUAUGGUGUGCUCUCGAAGAGUCGAGUUGUUUGGGAAUGCAGCUCAAAAUGGGUGGUAAAUGCCAUCUAAAGCUAAAUAUUGGCGGGAGACCGAUAGCGAACAAGUACCGUGAGGGAAAGAUGAAAAGGACUUUGGAAAGAGAGUUAAACAGUACGUGAAAUUGCUGAAAGGGAAACGCUUGAAGUCAGUCGCGUUGGCUAGAAAUCAACCUUGCUUUUGCUUUGUGUACUUUCUGGUUGACGGGUCAGCAUCAAUUUUGACCACUGGAUAAAGUCUUUGGGAAUGUGGCAUCUUCGGAUGUGUUAUAGCCCAUUGUCGCAUACGGUGGUUGGGAUUGAGGAACUCAGCACGCCGCAAGGCCGGGUUUCGACCACGUUCGUGCUUAGGAUGCUGGCAUAAUGGCUUUAAUCGACCCGUCUUGAAACACGGACCAAGGAGUCUAACAUGCCUGCGAGUGUUUGGGUGGAAAAACCCAUGCGCGCAAUGAAAGUGAAAGUUGAGAUCCUCUUCAAAGGGGGAGCAUUGACGCCCGGACCAGACCUUUUGUGACGGAUCCGCGGUAGAGCAUGCAUGUUGGGACCCGAAAGAUGGUGAACUAUGCCUGAAUAGGGUGAAGCCAGAGGAAACUCUGGUGGAGGCUCGUAGCGAUUCUGACGUGCAAAUCGAUCGUCAAAUUUGGGUAUAGGGGCGAAAGACUAAUCGAACCAUCUAGUAGCUGGUUCCUGCC